rnacentral:rRNA from 1 species
CUGGGCGAAGCCUGAUCCAGCCAUGCCGCGUGUGUGAAAAGGUCUUCGGAUUGUAAAGCACUUUAAGUUGGGAGGAAGGGCAUUUACCUAAUACGUUAGUGUUUUGACGUUACCGACAGAAUAAGCACCGGCUAACUCUGUGCCAGCAGCCGCGGUAAAAGA